UACAGAGGUCUCAAGCGUUGUUCGGAUUCAUUGGGCGUAAAGGGUGCGUAGGCGGCGCGGUAAGUCGGGUGUGAAAUCUCGGAGCUUAACUCCGAAACUGCAUUCGAUACUGCCGUGCUUGAGGACUGGAGAGGAGACUGGAAUUUACGGUGUAGCGGUGAAAUGCGUAGAUAUCGUAAGGAAGACCAGUGGCGAAGGCGGGUCUCUGGACAGUUCCUGACGCUGAGCACGAAGGCCAGGGGAGCAAACGGG
rnacentral:rRNA from 1 species